UUCAUUCAAUUUUGAACUUGAAGCCAAGCAUUAAGAGUCAAAUCGAUUUGAAAAAAUUUGGUCAAUCCAAAUCAUGUGCUAAAAAUAGGUGUUACCGUUAAAAAAAUACAUUUUGUUCUAUACUCCAGCAGUCCAGCCCACGAGAGAGGUUUCACUUUAACUACCACCAACUGCUCAAAACGAUCCACCGGUCGCGCCCCCCGCCGGUUGCCUACACACACUUUUUGUUCCUCGUGUGUCUGACGGGGUUCACGCAUGUUCCAAAACAUAAAAUGAAAAUUGUGGAGUACCUCGGAUACAGUGAUCAAGGUCAGCAAGAUAUUCUACCUCGAAAUAAUUUUUGACUCGGUCGUCGACAACUCCGGUUCAAUCCACGUUUAAUGAACAGCCUCAUUGCCGUUGCUAAUCUAUUGUGUCUGGUGUCUGAGAACAAGUAUGGUGACUUCAAACACAAGUGUUGAAGUGUUAAGAUUCAAGUGGGAACCGUCAGCAAGUUGUUUUACUUCAAAAUAUCACAUGACUCAUUGACUCUUACAUAAACAACGCCGAUCAAAUCGACGUAAGUCUUUUUCACUUGCCCAUACAUCCGUCUAAAAUCGUAUUGGUUACGCUUGCUUCCGGGAGUGUCGGGAGCCCACCGAGAAGCCGGACGCCCAGAAUCCCGUCGGUCGUUAACAAAACGGAUACUUUAGGUACCACUGAGUUUUGGUGCGUACAGCGUGAUUUUUAUUCACUCCCCCCAACAAUGGCUUAGUGACGCUUCAAACCACUUCCAUCGACUGUCUAUAUAAUAUGCUUACUAUGUGUUUCUUUUUUGUUUGCAGGCUUUCACAUAAAGGUCCAGUCAUAAAAAAUACAAACUGCAGAGAGUCCCACAACAAGAAGCCAACGUCGGCCAGCGCUUACAUCAGACAAUUGGGGGAUGUCAAACAAAUAUAGUGGAGGAAACCGUGACCACCGUCAGAAAGCUGUUCAGCUAUAUCAAAAUACCCCAUGUUUCGAUCAUUCGGAACUCUGAUCCUAUCAACUAUCUUACGUGGUAGGUCUUCAUUUCAAAAAAUAUAAAAGUCAAGACAAAACAAAACUUUUUAUUGACAUCAGCUAUCAUCAAAAUUCAAAAAGUUAUCUUCAAAUAAAGAAU